GGGGAUGGUUGAGGUUGGGAUCAUGGUGGUCUAGGUUGGGAUCUGGGUGGUUUAGGUUGGGAUCAUGUUGGUCUAGGUUGGGAUCAUGGUGGUUUAGGUUGGGAUCAUGUUGGUCUAGGUUGGGAUCAUGGUGGUUUAGGUUGGGAUCAUGUUGGUCUAGGUUGGGAUCAUGGUGGUUUAGGUUGGGAUCAUGGUGGUCUAGGUUGGGAUCUGGGUGGUUUAGGUUGGGAUCAUGGUGGUCUAGGUUGGGAUCUGGGUGGUCGAGGUUUGGGAACGGGAUGGUUGAGGUUGGGAACGGGAUGGUUGAGGUUGGGAGGGAAUGGGGUGGUUG
ensembl:lncRNA